AUUGCCUUAUUUGCGUCUAAACUUUUUCCGCUUUUCCGUUUUUGCGUUUUUGCAUAAAACGCUGAAUAUUGCAAAACGUGCAUAUGAGUAUAAACAAUUACUUCCUUUGCAUAAACAAUUAUUUUUACUAUUAGUAUCCGCAAGUAUUCCAAGAAUGAUCAUCCAUUUCUGAGGAAUUCGGUUCGUAGUGGUUCGUAGCUCGUUUCGUUAACGUAAGCAAUAUUCUUACGAAAACCCCUAAACAAAACUGUUUGUCUUGCAUUAAUAUUUCAUAGUUAAAUCGGAAUUCUUGUGCCUUCAACUGUACUUAAUUAAUCGUUUAGUUUCAUUGCUUGUAAAUCUUUUUUUUCUUCUUCUUAAUUUAAAAGUGAUUAUUUAAUCUUUUUCGAGUGCAGUAUUUGCUUAUUCUAUUAUUUCGGUUUACAGCUUCACAUGUGUGCUCUGCUCUGCUCAGCUCAGCUCAGCUCUGCUCAACUCGUUCAGUUAUCUUCGAAGAUAAUCCCAACACAAAUUUGAAAUCUUUCGUUUUUAUUGCGUUAUCUGUGAAUUACGAAUUUAUUUGAAUUUUAUGCUGCCAGUGUCAAGCAAUAUGCACUUAAUUGCAGCAGGCCCAUCCCUUUACUGAGAAAGGGGGGCUCUUCAGUCACAUUGCACUGAAUCAUCAACAACAAAUGAUCAAAUGAUCAAAUGAACAGAUGAACAGAUGAAGCAACAAUAUUAGUAACAAUAAAACUAUUGUCAACAAAUGGAAUUGUGCAAAUGAACCACCUUGCUGCAGUGUGUCCUCAACUAUAACGUCCACAACAAGUAACGUCGAAAUAAUUGGAAAGAAAAUUAUAUAAAAAA